AACUCCAGCAAAGGAGAGCAACUGUAUUAGCAGCUUCCUGCCCAGCCCAGGGCUCUCACUGGGAGAGGCCCCAUGACCUCUGCUUGAAAGGCCAAGGCUUUCUAAAGAGGCAGGCGCUGCUUCACUCCUUGGAUGCACUUACCCUCAAGGUUGACCGAUAGCUGCUGAUUCAAGCGCCAGAGAUCUUGUCCUGAGGUGACGUGCUCGGAGGCUGCAGAGAACCCGUCUGUCUGUCUAGGUCCGUCUUUAAGAUUAAGGAAACUUUCCCCAGAAGUGUUCCCAGAACCUGCUUCUGGGUCUCAUCGGCCAAAGUUCAGCCACACACUCAUUCCUGUAACUCCUAGUCGGGGUAACGUAGGUUCUUUGCCUAGCAGGUAUCAUGGUGCACAUCUGGAAUCCCAGAAUUCAGGAGGCCGAGGCAAGAGGAUUGCUAGCUCAAGCCCAGCCUGGGCUACAGCGAGACGCCUCCUAAAACAAAAACAAGCCAGGUGGUGGUGAGAUAGCUUGUGUUUUCUUCAGUACUUUGAUCCUGUUGGAAUUUAUUUCCAUGCUAAGAGUGAGCUGAUCCUGUGCGGACUCUGGGCUCCAGCCAUUUUAAUUACUCUUGCUGUGCAGUGUUCUGCAGAAUGUCUGGCAGACCUACCCUUCCGUGCUUAGUGCACUUUGUUUUUCUCUGGAAUUUUUCUCUCUAUUCUUUUAUAUAUGUCCCCCCACCCCCAGUUAAAAUUGUCAUCA